CAAGGACAAAACUAGGUGAGUUGGCACCAAGAAUGAUUAGAAUGUACGGGGCGUCGCAUGAAGGUAUGGACUACCCCAUCCCAGGAAAGCUCUCUUCCAAGUCGAGAAGGGCAGGAAACAGACCAGACGAAGUUCUGCGUGACAUCGCCUUACAUCAUUUGAUUAGAAGACCGGGAAAACCACAUGCCGAUAAAAUAAGAGAAUACGACAAGUACUUUCACCAAGUCCGCGAUCUUUCGACAAUCAUACAUCCAGAUCAAGCUAAAGAGUUUAAAACUAAACUCAAAAAGUACAACGCACUUCUCACCAAAGCUGAACAGGAAGAAUUACAGAACUAUGACGUCAUUUUCUGCACAACAACUAUGACUACAAAUACAAAGUUCAUUCGUUCCACCAAAAACAGAAUAUUUCAGUGUAUCAUUGACGAGAGCGGAAUGUGCACAGAACCAGAGACUCUAGCUACCAUAAUCGCCACCAGAGCGGAACAAGUGGUUCUGAUUGGAGACCAUAAACAGCUCAGACCCGUAGUCAUGUGUCAACAUGCUGCAAGACUUGGUCUAGAAAAAUCCCUCUUUGAGCGAAGGUCGAAAGCGGCAAUCCUCCUUUCAACACAAUAUCGAAUGAACCCACGGUUAUGCGACUUCAUUUCUGCCCAGUUUUAUCAUAAUCAACUUCAGACUGCACCCUCAACGGCAUGGAUGGAGCAAAAUCCUCUAGGUCUGUGGAAGUAUCGGGAAACUCCGCACAUUCUGUGUCACGUGGAGGGAGGAGAGGAAUAUCUUACGGUAUCAACAUACGAGGGGAAUGAACAAUCUUGUAGCAACAAAGCGGAAGUGGAAAAAGUGGUUGAUGUUUUCAAACGGAUAGUAUCCGUAGAGGGAGUGAAUCCGCGGUACAUCAAUGUUAUGUCGCAGUACAACGCCCAGUGUCACGCCAUCAAGACGGCUUUAUUGGCGUCAGGCUACAUCAACAGUAACGUCCACACAGUCGUCGCCAGUCAGGGCGGAGAAUGGGACUACGUCAUUUUCAGCACCGUUAGAUCUUUACCGGACUACAGAAUUGAACCCAAUCCAACAAUUGGUUGGUGUAAACAGAACCUUGGAUUCAUUACUGACGAGCACCAGAUAAACGUCGCACUUUCUAGGGCUCGUAAAGGUCUCGUUAUCAUAGGAAAUACAAAUCUGUUGAAGUGUGAUGAUGUUUGGAAAAAUCUGAUUGACCUUUACACGAAGAGGGAAUGUGUGGUAGACGGUAAGGAUUUCCCACCACGCAUAACGCGUCCUAGGAGAGUAAGGAACAGGGCUAAAGAAUCACAUGUGACAUAUAGAGAGUUCUACAAAGGCACAGACAUGGAGGUGAGAGGGAGUGACAAAAACAUGGUGGAUGAUACCAAGACAGUUUAGUGGGAGAUAUGGGAAUGACUACGGAUAUUACUGAACACUGUCGGUAUAAAAUUGUGUAUGCACUUGAACCACCGAUAAAGCGUGGUAGUUUAUAACUAUAGUGAUAUACAGGUUUACGUUCCUCACCUACAUAUUUCGUACUAUGUCCGAAAGUAUUUGAUGCCGGUUUAAGUUUUCUCUACUUUUUUCAAUUGGUUUUUAUGGAAUUUGUAUAUAGCGUAUAAGUGAAUGUCUGGAAAAUAUUCUGGAUAUAUAAUCUGCCUGCAUACGUACAUAUUGAUAAGUUGAGCUACAGGAUUGGUACAAUUCAGUGCAUAAAAUUAAUUUUACUUUUAAGGUGACUAUUGUUUUAUGAUGUUUUUAGUGUAAAUCACGUUUAUCUGACGGUGCAAUACUGAUUAAUCAUGUUAAUUGCGGUGAUUCAUUAUUGUUUUAUUCCUUUGCAUACUAUAAACGUGUUUUACAGCAAUUUCAAAUGUUGAUGACAUUCUUCUUGUUAAUGUGUUAUGUAUUGUACUGUUACUUACUUUUAAAUAUUGAUUGUACAUAGUUUAUAUAAGCAGUUAUUUUAAUAAUUUGCUGCAUAUGCAUGUACAUAGAUAUUAAGCUGUUAAGUCAAAUUCACUUUCUGAAAUAUAUUUUUUUACAUAUAUACUGUAAAUGCUUUACACAAAAAGUGACUUUUGACUCACCGAUACCGAAUGCUUUUCCUUAUAUAAAACAACAUUUAUAUCAACAAUCUGCAGUCGUUAGGAACUGAUUGAGAGAAUGAAGAGAGGAUAGUCUGAGUGUAUACUAAGGAGAACCUAUUUAAUGUAUUUAUAAGAGCAAGUGAACAAACACAAUGGAAACCUCUUGUUAUAUUGGUCUAUUAAUAGAUCAAAUAUAUUUAAAGUCAAUGGUGUUGCACCCAGAAUAUAGCUUCUUUUUUAGAUCACGUUUGGGAUCCAGGGGAUAUAACGUUAUACUUUGUUAUAUAAUUGUGGUCUCUACAAUAUGUCAUGAUAAAAGUUAGAGGAAGAAAAUCAAGUAUUUUAGUUAAACUGAACAGUUAUUUCCGAAAAAGCUGAGCAGCUAGUGACUAGUCUUUACAGCAACAUGAAUUUUGUUAAUUUUGGACAUAACCUGUCAUUUAUGAGCUUUCAAUUCAUACUCUAAAAAGUUAGAUUAUAUCACUCGUGAUUGUGAAAGAAAACAUCUAUCGUAUUAGUACUUUGAACUACUUUGAAGUAUAUUUUACAUUAGAGUCACAUCGACAGCUAGUCAUCUACAUCAUAUCAAUACAAUCGGCAACAAAACAGAGAAAAAAUAAAAUAGAAAUAGAAAAGUCUCGCUUUCACUGAACGAUACGGUUCAUCCUUGAAAGGUGACAGGCAAUGUAAUCUUUGGUAAAAGUGUCUUAUUUUUCACUUUUUUUUUUAAAAUUUUAUAUGUAUUUUCAAAACACCAAUCACAAUUGUUAAUUCCACAAAAAAUCCCUUAUUAUAGAUACAAUUUAUAUUUGAAUUCCACUUUAUAUAAACGCUACAAUAAUGAAGAAAUCAAACAUCGAUUUUAAUAGAUCAUCAAGUGGUAUCAAUUGCAUAACAGAUAUUAAUUACUUUUAAAAAGUUUUGCAUCUUUUAAGUCACAUAUGAAAUGGUUGAUACAUCUACCACGACAGUUUUUUGUAUUUUACUCUAACUCACAUAUACAUAUGGUUGAUACAUCCAACACAACUUGUGUUAAUAUUGUAAAGUAAAUUACAUUUAAAUGUUGUUGGUACAUCUACAACGACACGUUGUUACAUUGUAAAGUAAAUCACAUUUAAAUGUUGUUGGUACAUUUACAACGACACGUUGUUACAUUGUAAAGUAAAUCACAUUUUUAUCUAGAUGAUACAUCUACCACGACACGUUUUUAUAUUGCAGAUAUAUCUACAAGGACACGUGUUGAUAUUGUUGAUAUAUCUACCACGACACGUGUUUAUAUUGUUGAUAUAUCUACAAGGACACGUGUUUAUAUUGCAGAUAUAUCUACAAGGACACGUGUUUAUAUUGCUGAUAUAUCUACCACGACACGUGUUUAUAUUUGUGAUAUAUUUACCACGACACGUGUUUAUAUUACAGAUAUAUGUACCAUGACAUGUUCAUAUUAUUGAUAUAUCUACCAUAACACGUGCUUAUAUUGUUGAUAUAUCUACCACGACACGUGUUUAUAUUGCUGAUAUAUCUACCACGACACGUGUUUAUAUUGUUGAUAUAUCUACAAUGACACGUGUUUAUAUUAUUGAUAUAUCUACCACUACACGUGUUUAUAUUACUGACAUAUCUACAAUGACACGUGUUUAUAUUUGUGAUAUAUCAACCACGACACGUGUUUAUAUUAAUGACAUAUCUACCACGACACGUGUUUAUAUUGUUGAUAUAUCUAUCACGACACGUGUUUAUAUUGUUGAUAUAUCUACCACGACACGUGUUUAUAUUGUUGAUAUAUCUACCACGACACGUGUUUAUAUUGCUGAUAUAUCUACCACGACACGUGUUUAUAUUGCUGAUAUAUCUACCACUGACACGUGUUUAUUUCUGUGAUAUAUUUGCUUCGACACGUGUUUACAUUGAUGAUAUAUCUACCACGACACGUGUUUAUAUUGGUGAAAUAUCUAUCACGACACAUGUUUAUACUAGUUAUACAUAUAUCAAGACACGUGUUUAUAUUUUACUGUUAAUCCCUAUCAAAUCCUGGUGACACAACUUCAACACAUGUAUUUUACUGUAGUCAAUCUCUUUUAAAUACUGAUGCUUUAAGGUGUUAACCUGUGCUUGUAAUUUUUGUAUUUUAAUAAAACGGUCAUUCUAUGCCUUUCA